ACGAACGCUGGCGGCGUGCUUCACACAUGCAAGUCGAACGGAGAGGCCCUGCUUUUGUGGGGUGCUCGAGUGGCGAACGGGUGAGUAACACGUGAGUAACCUGCCCUUGACUUUGGGAUAACUUCAGGAAACUGGGGCUAAUACCGGAUAGGAGCUCCUGCUGCAUGGUGGGGGUUGGAAAGUUUCGGCGGUUGGGGAUGGACUCGCGGCUUAUCAGCUUGUUGGUGGGGUAGUGGCUUACCAAGGCUUUGACGGGUAGCCGGCCUGAGAGGGUGACCGGCCACAUUGGGACUGAGAUACGGCCCAGACUCCUACGGGAGGCAGCAGUGGGGAAUAUUGCACAAUGGGCGGAAGCCUGAUGCAGCAACGCCGCGUGCGGGAUGACGGCCUUCGGGUUGUAAACCGCUUUCGCCUGUGACGAAGCGUGAGUGACGGUAAUGGGUAAAGAAGCACCGGCUAACUACGUG
rnacentral:rRNA from 1 species